AGUAACGCGUGGGUAACCUGCCUCACACUGGGGGAUAACAGUCAGAAAUGACUGCUAAUACCGCAUAAGCGCACGGGAUUGCAAUGAUCCAGUGUGAAAAACUCCGGUGGUGUGAGAUGGACCCGCGUUGGAUUAGCCAGUUGGCAGGGUAACGGCCUACCAAAGCGACGAUCCAUAGCCGGCCUGAGAGGUGGACGGCCACAUUGGGACUGAGACACGGCCCAGACUCCUACGGGAGGCAGCAUG
rnacentral:rRNA from 1 species